rnacentral:rRNA from 1 species
UCCCUACGGGGCGCAGCAGUGGGGAAUCUUCCGCAAUGGACGAAAGUCUGACGCAGCAACGCCGCGUGAGUGAUGAAGGUUUUCGGAUCGUAAACCUCUGUCAGGAGGGAAGAAAGCGCAUCGCGCCAAUCAGCCAUGCGUUUACGGUACCUCCAAAGGAAGCGCCGGCUAACUCCGGGCCAGCAGCCGCGGUAAUACGGAGGGCGCGAGCGUCAAUCGGAAUUACUGGGCGUAAAGCGCGC